CUAGCAUAUCAAUAAGCGCAGGAAAAGAAACCAACAGGGAUUGCCUCAGUAACGGCGAGUGAAGCGGCAACAGCUCAAAUUUGAAAUCUGGCCUCUUGGGGUCCGAGUUGUAAUUUGUAGAGGAUGUUUCGGGUACCGCCUCGGUUUAAAUUUCUUGGAACAGAAUGUCAAAGAGGGUGAGAAUCCCGUCUUGGACCGGCGGUAGGGCCUAUGUGAAACUCCUUCGACGAGUCGAGUUGUUUGGGAAUGCAGCUCAAAAUGGGUGGUAAAUUUCAUCUAAAGCUAAAUAUUGGCCAGAGACCGAUAGCGCACAAGUAGAGUGAUCGAAAGAUGAAAAGCACUUUGAAAAGAGAGUUAAACAGUAUGUGAAAUUGUUGAAAGGGAAGCGCUUGCAACCAGACUUGAGCGCGGCGGUUCCCCCUUGCUUCUGCUUGGGUUACUCCGCCGUGUCCAGGCCAACAUCGGUUCUGGGGGUCGGUCAAAGGCUCUGGGAAUGUAUCUACCCACGGGUAGACUUAUAGACCAGGGUGUCAUGCGACCUCCCGGGACCGAGGAACGCGCUUCGGCUCGGAUGUUGGCGUAAUGGUUGUCAGCGACCCGUCUUGAAACACGGACCAAGGAGUCUAACAUCUAUGCGAGUGUUUGGGUGUCAAACCCGGAACGCGGAAUGAAAGUGAACGGAGGUAGGAAGCUUCGGCUGCACUAUCGACCGAUCCUGAAGUUUACGGAUGGAUUUGAGUAAGAGCAUAGCUGUUGGGACCCGAAAGAUGGUGAACUAUGCCUGAAUAGGGUGAAGCCAGAGGAAACUCUGGUGGAGGCUCGCAGCGGUUCUGACGUGCAAAUCGAUCGUCAAAUUUGGGUAUAGGGGCGAAAGACUAAUCUAACCAUCUGGUACUGU
rnacentral:rRNA from 1 species